rnacentral:lncRNA from 10 species
CAAACAAGUGAAUUUUAUAGUAUGUAAAUUAUAUCUCAAUAAAGCCAUUAACAAAAAAAUCCCUUUGGGAGCUUGAGGAGGAUAAACUGGAGGGCAUCAACUGGGGGAGGUUGUAGUGUAGGAGUUUGGGUGAGGGGGCCCGAGCCCAUCUGUUUGGACUUGAGGGAAAGUGGCUUGGGGUUAGAGUCGGGGGAGGAUCAGAAUGUCUUGCCCAAGGUUAAGAAGCUGGUGGAACUUGAUUUCAGAACCCAGAGCUCCCUGGCUUCAGCCCUAGUGCUCCUGCCAGCACUACAGCUGCUCCACUGACUGGUGAUGGAAGCACUGUCUUCCCCGUCUAAGAGAAAUGCACUUCAGAAACAUGUUUCCAAAAAAUGUUUCUAAGGGUUUUAUUUCUAACAAGAGGAAAAUAAUAAAAUAAAAUUAAAAUAGGCUUCAGUUGGAACCAAGUUUCUUGUUUUGCUUUUUUUUUUCUUUUGAACAAAUUAAUUACACACCAACAAUCUUCUUUUAUUACAACAUGAACCCAGGAGGAGGAAAGGAGACAGGGGAGGACAGGGAGGGAGGACUGAGGUGGUUGUGAGGACAAGCACCAAAAGCUUUCUUCAGAUCACAGGGAGCCCUGUUCAGCUCCCCAGCCAAAUUCCUUUAAAAUAAAAAACUGUGAGCACGGCUAUGUGAAGUUUCCUCCUCCUGGGUGGAACAGUCAGGGGAAGGGAGAGGGAGAAGGGGGUAGGAAGGAAGGAAAAGAGGGGAGGAGAGUGGGGGCAGGGGUUAGUGUAGCAUGGCCUGGCCAGGACCAGAACUGGGGAGAGAAGGGAGGAGAGUCCCCCAGUUUGCAUAUACACUGGCCUUGUCUCUGGAAUGGUGAUGGCCCAGCCCCAGCCACCCCCCUGCCCACCAGCCCAUCCAUCUAUCUGCCUCAGGUGUCUGGGAAUGCUGGUUAGAGGCUACCAGGGAGGGAAGACUCCAGGGGCCGGCCCCCAGGAGCUGAGGUCUGAACAAUACCUUGGAGUCAGAAUACAAAAGUCAAGGGACUCAGGGGUGGGCGGAUCUUGCAAAUGCCCGAUUUCUCUGCGAUGGGCCUGAUUUUCGCGAUGUAGCCAAGAGGGUCUCGGAACUCGGCCCAGCUAGGCUCGAACACCGGGCACUCCGGUGGCGGUAGGAAAUCGUCGGACCCCGGCUCCAUGGUGGGCCCGAGGUCUGGGCCAGGGAUCGGGAGGCUUGGACCGCCCUUAAGGACUCAUGGCGCCGCCGCUGUUUGAAGCCGAGGCAAUGCUCGGAGGCUAGGCCCUAAGCGGGGCAGCCGCCGCCCGCCGAGGGCCUAAGGGGGCGUGUGGCCGUCGUGCUCUGAGAGUCUCAGGCUGACUCUACUGCUACCGCCUCUUCGUCCCGCUCCGUUUCUUCCAAACUGUGUGGUUGCCUCCCCACUACCGCAGCCUUCGCCACCACAGUUACCUCCCAAACGCCGCGGCCUUCAGCGCCG